rnacentral:lncRNA from 1 species
GGGGGUUUGUGUUUGCUUAUUUUUUAUCUUCUAUGUUGUGUCUUGUGUACUAUUAUUUGUCUGUUUUUUUAUUUUUGAUCUAUGAGUUUGACUGCCCCUAUGGAAUCGGUCGCCCAUCUUUUAAAUGUGUUUGUUGGCUAUGUAUAGCUUCAGACAGAGCUCAUUGGAUUUUCAUUUCUUUACAAAAAUAUGUAUGAGUAUGUGCCUGUUUCUUUGAUGAAAGCCAAUUCCUCACAUCUAGAUACCCUUUUGAUACUUGUAAAGAGGAUUAAUGUCGCCAUCUUAUUUAUCCAAUGUAUGUCAUUAUUCACAAUAAUGAAGACUGAAUAUAUUAUUUUGCAGCGCUACCAAACCUACAUCGAGCGUGACACUAUGCAGAAAUAAAACUUAACUAAUAGGUUUUAUAACUGUUUAUAAUCAUUUACUUUAAACUUC